UCUCCAAAAUCUAUCUCCGUCCUAAAACAAAACACAUUAGUUAGUUUGAAAUUUAGUAUCGGAUAAAUUGACUGUUCAACUAAAUAUGUUGGUAAAUUUUAGAAUAGCAUUUAAAUAGUUAUGAGCUGAUAAAGUUAUCCACAUUAAAAAUAUGGUUAUUGAAAUAUUUGUAUUUACACUGUUACACGUUCAAUGGGUCUAAUCAUUAAAUCCUAUAAACCUGUCGAUUCGAUCGAAACAAAUUACGUUGAAAUCGUAUCGAAAUUAAAAUGGCUAUGAAGUUGAACUCACUUACCGACACAAUAAAAUAUAUUCCGUAGGUGGCGCUAAUUUCGAAAUCAGUGAAAUCGCAAAACCGAAAAUAUUUAUCGAAAUCUUUCCGUUGACGUGCGAGGUGCGGAAAAAAAUGGGGCAUUUCUAGAGACAGGAGACAAAAACAACUCAACAAAAAUAAUUUGAAAUUCAGUAAGCCACUCAACGCUCUCUCGGUUUACGGCCCUUUUAUUUCUACCUAGGGAUUUCCUGAAAUUGUGCAUCCGCAUACACACAUACAUAUAUUCAUCCAACCAAUGGUCCAAGCCGUUAUAUCCAAUUUUAGAGCUUACUACUUACAGCUAACAUUUAAGCAGAUGUUUGACGGAUAAAAGGACCACUAUACAUAACUGAAAGUAUUGUCUAAUUGUUGUAAAUUAUUCAAAUUUCGACAGAAUUUCAAAAGCAAUACGGGGUGUUAUAGAUGCUUUAUCCACUUAUCAACAACUUUUAACAGAACGCCAAAGGAAAACGCAAACUACAUGAGAUGCUUUUUUGACAAAAAGGCUGAAAAUUGGAAACAUAAAAUAGACUGAACGAUCUGACUGGCUAAGAAUUUUAUUUGUUUUUAUUAAUAUAUUCGUUUAUAUUAUUUUUGUAAGAGAUAUUUGUUUAGUAUAUUUUUUUUAGACAUAAUUAUUAAAUUUAAUACCUAACCAAUUUUCUACCAAUCUUUUUUUAACCCCAUUAUUUACAAGAUAGUCGUCUAGCGCUGUUUCGCAUUACGCUUUAUUUUAAUGGAACGUAACCUAAGCGUUAAGCGGAGUCUUCCUGUACAAAGUCAAGGCAUUUUCAUAAAGAUAAAAAAAUGUAAAAAUAAUUAUCGGGCGUUUAUGUACAAUAUCGGGUAAAAUCGGCUCAUUUACAGGUUCGGACCAAUUUUUAGUUUGCAAUUAAAAAUAAAUUUGUAUAAAAAUCUCAAAUCAAAUUUCUGGAACAGGGAAGGGCUCUUCAUCCCAGUAACUAUAAGUACACUCGAAAAGGAGGUCAGCGGUAUACACACAUCAUUAAGAGGCAUUGAAAGUUUUGGAUGUUCACCAGUAAUUGCAAAAAAUAUUUCGAAUGAAAUCCCUGCUAAAAGUACCAGUAAUAAGAAAAAAAUGUAUGAUAUUUAUACAAAAAUAAUCAUCAUAUUUAACGACUGACUUAAUCAAUUCUCAAAACUGCCGGUUCUACGUUACCGGAAUUAACCCGGAUUUUAUCCGGCCAAGGGUUUUUAUUUCGGCGAUCUAACCCUGUUUCGAUCGGUAAGUUCUAGGUUAAUUUUGCCGUCAUUGGAGCAACGCCCACAAAACGCCAUUAAUCAAAAACAAAUAAAUUGUCACAACUAAGCUCCACAACAAGAUACAAGACUCUUAUUUGGAAUACAGGAUCACAUUAGCGGGGGGCAUCUGCAGUUUAAAUUUAUUUGUAAAAGUGGGCGUGGUCCCGACCCCUAAUAGGUUUAAUGUGCAUAUCUCCUAUACCACUGAAGCCAUAAUAAAAAAAUUCUCUGGGAAUAAAUGUUUUUAGUAUCUCUAUCGACGGUGUGAAAAUGGGUGAAAUCGGGUGACAACCCCGCCCACUCCUCAUAUAACGGUACACUUAAAAACUACUAAAAGCGCGAUAAAUCAAGCACUAAACAAGCCAGAGACAUUAAAUUUUUAUCUCUGGGAUGGUAUGAGAUGAAUUUAUAGGAACCACGUUCAAAAUAAGUCAGUGGGCGUGGCGGCGCCCACUUUUAGGUGAAAACCCAUAUCUUGGAAUCUGCUUAAUCGAUUUCCAAACCCAAAUUCGGUACAUAAUAUUCGUCUCAUAUUUCUAUAUUAUAGUACGAAAGUGGGCGAAAUCGGAUUACAACCACGCCUAUUGGUUUAGAAUAGAAAUAACCCAUCAUACUUAUGCCAGCCUGUUCAACUUAUCAAAUAUAAAUGUACAAUUUUAUUUUCUCCCAUCUCCCACAUAUUUUCACAUAAUACUUGGCAACGAUACUCUUAAAGAACUAUCUGUAAUCACUCAUACUAAAGACAAUUUCAUGACCAAAAACAAGAAUUAAACUAAAUCAACUAUUUUCACAAGAUGUCAAUCACGUUAUAGUUAGAUAUAACCACAUGAACAAUUUCCCAAAAUAAACAAUGAAAUAAAUAAUGAACAAGAAUUUUUACCUCUUUUUUGACCUCAAUGAAAAGCUACUUAUGCCACAAAAGUCGUCGACAAUGUAAGAACCAACUCCAAUACACCAGUUUAUUAAAUAAUCAUACAUACCCCAGAAGACAAGUAAAAAUAAAACAGUACUGAACGAUGGAAACAUAAGGCCUUCCUGUUCCCCCAUUUGGAUCGUUCCAAGAAAAAUAGGACGCAUCCACCAAAAAAAAUAUAUAGGCCAGAAGCUACAGGAAGUUAAACUCAAUCACAAUAGCUGACCGUUACCCAAUUGCCGAUAUAAAUCGGCACAACUUGGUAGAAAUUAAUUAUUUUCAGUAUUAGAUCUGAAAAGCGGUUUCAUCCAUUAAAAGAAUCUGACGUUCGGUCUAAAUAAUGCCUCAUCAAUAUUUCAACGUGCUUUAUAGGACAUUCUUGGAAAACACAUGGGGAUCCUGUUAUGUUUAUAUCGAUGAUAUAAUCAUAUUCAGCAAAGAUAAAAAACCCCAUGCUCAACACAUACUUCAAAUUUUAAAACUCUUACGGGACGCUAAUAUGAAAGUACAAAUGAAUGAGUGCGAAUUCUUAAAAAAAAACAAAAAAACAGAAUGUUUAGGAUUUAUAGUAUCUUUGAAUGGAAUAAACACGAACCCUACUUAAGUACAAGCAAUAGUCGACUUUCCAUACUCAAAAACUCUAAAAGAGUUAAUAUCAUGUCUAGGACUCUCCGGAUCCUAUAGACGAUUUAUAAAAGACUACGCGAAAUUAACUAAGCUCCUCAAUACCUUUCUUAGAGAAGACGGAAGAAUAUCGUAAAUCAAUUAAAAAAGAAAACCGUCAAGCUAGACGACGCAACUAGAAGUACAUUCGACAAAAUAACAAAAAAAAACGUUAACUUCGGUUGCACCGAAGCUAAUUUUAUGAAGAUACCUCGUUAAAUAAAAGAGUUUUCCAUACAAGCACCGAUCUUUCAGUUAAUAUGACAGUCAUAUGCUAUAGUCAUCCGAUCUAAACAAUUUCGUCGGAGAUUACAUUGUUGCCUUAGACUCAUGCCAAAAUUUGUUCAGUUUGUAGCUUCUUAGUGAGGAAAGGAGAGGUGCAACUGAGGGUCUAGCACGUAUAUAUACAGACAAACAGAAGGACGAACAGACAGACAGACGGACAUGGCUUAAACCAUUCAGCUCAUCAUGCCGAUGAUUUAUGUAUAUAUUUAAUAGGGUAUCCGACGUUUUCUGGGACUUCAUGGCAAACUUAAUAUAUACUAGUCAGGGUAUAAAAAUUGCAUUAGUUUCAAGAGAAGUAACACUAACCUAUCCUAACAUAUAGAAAGAACUUAAUUUGGCUAGAUGCUUUGAAAGAGGAUGCUUUGAACAGGAAUUGGAAAGCCAAUCACUUUUAUAUGAACAACAUUACCCAAAACAGAAGAAAAUUACCUAUACGGCAUAGCUAAAAUAAAAAUAUUGAGCGAUCACCAACACCUAACGUACAGAUUAAGCAAUAAAAACGACAAUACAAUUUCCCACGACAGUCGGGUCUACGUAACCGGAACAGAGCCGAAAUUUUAUCCGGCCAAGGACUGUUAACUCGGCAGAAAUCUACCGCUACAACAACAAUACAAUUCUUCGGUUCUAUGAUACCGGUUUUUAUUCCACCAAGGCUGUUUUCGGCGAUCUAAUCCCGUUUGGAUCGGUGAGGUUUGUUUUAAAAAUAGUCUUUCCUUGAACAACUCCUAGCAGGAACACUCCCGUGUUAGCAUUGAGUCCAACCGGAACCCUAAAAAUUUUUGUGCUGCGUUUACGCCAAGAGGCUCCAUCCAAACUCCAUCUCGGUUAGGAUGGAGCCAUCUUAAGGCUGUUCAGGCCUUAAGUGGCAACGCACUAUGGCGAAACGAGCCUCAGCGACCAUCCAAAUCGCACUACGUCCGCGCACUGCCCUGGAACUCCAGUCGAGUGGCCAACAAAAGACAUCUACCGUCCUCAGGAGCUCAAAACAAAAACAACCAGAAAUACAUCCCACUCCAAUCUUCGUGCAGGAACCACUCGGCAACUCCUGGUUCCUCACAGUUUGUUAUGUGUAUGAGACCGACAUACGUCAGAACGUCACAUCAGUAAAGUGCAAUUUUUGUACCAGCUAGUGUGUUUUCCCCGCGUGUUCCGGCCUGCGCACCACGCGUGAGUGGAAUGUAUCGUACGUUGCCCCGUGCUGCCGGAGUCUGUUCCGUAAUCCUCUUCAAUGAUGUCGCCAAACAACACCACAGUGCGACUAACUUGAUUACCACAAUUUAGCUGCAACGGACUCACAGAGCAAGAUCGGAGAGAUAGUUGCGUUCAUGAGCCGGGAACGGGCAUAACGAUAGCUGCGGUCAAAGAAACAUUGUUUGACAGCCGCUCAGGACUUCUGAGUUGUACAAGUUUCAACGUGAUACGUAUGGAUCGCGAGUGAGAUAAUGGUGGAGGCCUAGCUUUCAUACUGCAAAACAUUGUUCUACAAUAUAUCACCUUAUCGAUAGUGACCUCGACCGCAGGGAAACUACCCUUGAAUGUCAGGGAAAAUCACUCCGGUCUGGCGAUGUCGAGCUCGAGAUAUUUAAUAUAUACAUCAACCCUGUUACAUGUGGCCCAACAGGGUAUCACCCGAACAUAGAUGCGAUGCUUCGUGGUGAGAACCGAUUGGUAUUUGAUUUGGCAGGUGGUAAACCAGCAUAAGCGGACAAAAUGGAUAGAUCAUUUGAAUUUUUGUAACCUCCACACCGGUGUAAGUACGCUUUGGACUAUUGUCAAGGCCUUGUCAAAACAGAGGAGGCAUAACGACCGCAAUAGCUGGCAAUUUACAUUGCACUCUUUUACAGACAAGACCAAACAAUGUGUAACCCGGUUGCGCAAAAUGUUAAAAGACAGUGCGCCACUUACUUUCACUAAUUAGAAGGUUCGAAUUGUCAGCAACAAGGCAAAAUCAUGUAAAUCCAUUGGAAUUAAUAUGCUGAUGCUAGAAUAUCUAGGCGCGACGCGAGUAAGCUACCCAACCAUGGUCCUCGACUUGGCGGUGAUCACUCUUCAUAUAUCUGAUGUGUGGAAAGUCGGAAGAGUUGUCCCACGACUGAAACCUGGGAAACCCGCCAACAAAGGGAAGUAUUAUCGUCCGAUAACUCGCCUUUCCCUAGCAGUGAAGAUACUUGAGGCCUUGCUACUCCCGUCAUUCACCCACCACCUGAGCCUAGCAGAUCAUCAGCAUGGCUUCCGUAAAGUGCACAGCACCACCACAGAACGUUAAGUCAUAAACGCCCAGAUAGUUCAUAGCCUUAACCAAAAGCCACCAUGUCUAAACGUUGGACUUGUCAAAAGCUUUUGACACAGUCAACAAUACAACGCUACUUGAGGAAAUUGAACAAUUCACGCUUCCUCCAGGGUUGAAGCGGUGAACUAUGAACUACCUAAGCGGCCGACUACCAUCCGUACUGUUUCGAGGUCAAAACUCUAAAAGGAAUUAAACAAGGGGUCCCGCAGGGUGGUGUUCUCUCCCCGAUACUGUUUAAUUUCUACAUAUCGAGACUCCUGACUUCAAGGAGCUUAACACUUAUCGCCACUUAAUCCACAGCGGAUAACUGCCACGUUCGCGAUAACUGCCAAAGUACAGAGCCGCAACAAAAUCCUCCAGUCGCUUGCCGGCAGCU